UGUCUCUCAUGAAUAAAUAAAAUAUUUAAAAAAAAAGAAAAAGAAAAAAAGAUUUGGCUACCUGUCUCAGGAAAGUAACACAAACUUCAACUAUUCUAAGAUCUAGAAUAAAGUCUAGUAUAUAAUAGGUACCCAAAUAUUUGAAGGAUUAAUUAGCUACACUAAUUGAAGACAGAUGCAAUAUGUAAUUCAAAAUAGGAAAUCUUAAAAAAAAAAAAAGGAAAUCUUUCAGCUCUUGACAAGUCAAAGAUAGUAUUUCCUCCAAAGAUAUAUUAGCAUUUCAGAUUCACUGUAAGACUGCAGAUGUUCUUGUUCAGAAAUCAGGGGUAUUCUUUUAUUUAAAUAACCAUAGUAGAGAGUGUAUUUCUUCUUCAGGCUCAAAAUUGCUGGCCACCCUAAGAUUUCAAAGCAGUCUUCUUCCUAGUAAAUCAUUAUUUCCUCAACAUGUUGUUUCUUACUCUUUCUGCUUUCAGCCCACUGUAAGGAAAAGCUUCCACUGUAGUUAUAGAUAGUUUCUGCUAUAACACACUGAUCAUGCUUUCUACAUUUCAUAACUUGCCAGUUUUCUAGUGGUAUCAAACGAAACUUCCAUACUAAAUAUCUAUUUAGAGGGUCUUUUUGUAGAAUGGCUGUCCCCCUGUCCAAACCAGGUACAUGUGAGUAUAAAGCUUUUAAGUGCUGUUUUGGUAUAUGACCUUUCUCAGAUGACCAGCAGAUUUCCUUUUACCCAAAGAAAGGAUUUCAUGAAGAACUUUAAUGCAUAAGCAUAUUACAUACAUGUACAGAAUAGACCUAUCAUUACAGGAAAAAUUAAGACUCUGAGGUGCUACAUACAUAUUUUUAAUUACAUAUCUUAAUUAAAAUAUGCAUAGCAUAUCAAGAAAAUUGGUUUUCCAUUGUAUCUUAGCAUAUAGAAAUUCACCAUUAGUAAUUUUACCUUGCUUCCAGGAUAAGCAUCUAGCUUGUGUAUAUUCUUUAUAUACAGAAAUAUUUCAGUAAACAAGACUCCUUAAUUGGAAUUUUUCUGCAUUCUACAGCGGUUGUCUGAAACCUGGCUCUGUAUUAGCAUCACUUGAGGACCUUUUAAUACCAGUACCUGGAAUUUACUCUCUCAGAUUCAUUUAAAUUGAUCUAGGCAGAGUGGGACUCUGCCAAGGCCCCAGUAUUAUUUUUUUAAGUGCCCAGAUGAUUCUAAUGUGUAGCCAGGAUUGAGAACCACUGCUCUAGAGAGAUCGACCUUAAACAUAUAAAACACACAAUUAGCCUCUUAAGCACUAUUUGAAAAUCAAAACCAAAAACUUUCAAGAGGGGUUGCUGUUGCCUGUCUUGGUGGUUCUUGCUUAUUUUGUUAUGCUUCUUUUUCCUCUCCUUCCUAUUCUGUUCUAGUCCACUCUUUUCAUUGUGAGAUAGAACAUCUUGUUUUUUACAGAUAAGGGUAAGGAUAGUUGAGACACUGUUUGCUGAUAGCUGCCGCAUACUUUAGAAAAUUUGGUAGAGGUAGGUUUAGAUCUCUCUAGGGGGAUGGAUAUAGACAGGAUUGAGGAGAGAUUCAAAUCGCUUUGGUUUUUUAUUGUAUUAUAGUAACUUCAUAAAUAAACUGAUUUUCCUUGCAUAGCAACAAAAAUUGAAUUCAUAUUAAUCAUAGUGACAAAUAACAAAUAUUGAGAUUCAUAUAAUGUAUUAAAGGGAAUACUCUAAACUGAAGUGUAUCAAUUUAGAUACAGGAAUGAUUUUUAAUGUGUAAAUUUUUAUGAUAAAUGAUUCUAAAAAGUCACCAAGCAAUCUUAAUGAUACCAAAUGAAGAAUUGCAACAAGAUUAUUCACAUUGCACAAUGUUUUAAUUUUUAAAUUGGCAUUUAUGCUUUAGAGGCAUUUUUCAUCAAGCACACAUGUCUACUUCUCCAGAAAAUCUUUCUGGGGUUCAUUUCUGAUUUAUAGAUUUCUCCUGAGACCAGAGAGAUUUUUUUUAGUGGAGACUUACCCAUAUUAUCAUUUAUCUCUCCUGACAAAUUCCAUUUGUGAAGUUUACUCUCUGCAGUGUUAGAAACUUACUGAAAAUACAUUUCACAAAAAAGAAUGAAUUUGUUGAACUUUUAAGGUUUGGUGGUUGACAGUACUUUAUUUCUGUAAUACCUGAGUGUUUUCUUCCUUCCAUGUGUGGGUGUAAAGGUAUUUUGAACCUUCAGAGACACCUUUUCCUUCAAUUUGCUGCCCUUUAAGUUUAGAGAUACUGAAGCUCUAAAAAAAUGUUUUUAAUAUGUAUGGUAGUGGAUCAAACCUCCUCCACUUUUUUAAUGGCCAAGUUUAAAGGAGGGAGCUUAUCUAAGUACAAUAAUUGGUUAAACAUCUUUUUUUCCUCCUGGGUUUCUUUUUAGGAACUACUGACAAUCAAAAACCUAUAGCGGACUUUGGGAUAUGGCUUUAUUAUUCAGCAACUAAAAGAUGAGUUCUAAUUGGCAGACUUCUGGCACUGGCACUUGUCCUCCUGUUUCUAUAGAAACUGGGUUGGAAGUCAGAGCUGCACAAAGGGAAAGGGAUGAGGUCGUCUGUUGGGCACAUACAUUUGUUUUCAUCCAGGCAGACAUCCAUUAUUCGUAGACUCUAAGACACCUGCCAGUUGGCUUGACAUGAUGACAAUGAGAUAUAAGGUAGGAAAGAGCUUUCAAAAGUUAUAGGCGGGGCACCUGGGUGGCUCAGUCAGCAGAGCAUCUGCCUUUGGCUCAGGUCAUGAUCUCGGGGUCCUAGGAUCGAGCCCCAUGUUGGGCUGCCUGCUCAGUGAGGAGGCAGCCCUCUGUCUCU